AUUUGUAGAUUUAAAAAUUAUACACAAUAUACUUUCCCCUCACUCAGAAGUGACCAGUAACAACCCUACACUGACCCUGAGAUACGGUUACUUCACAGAAUUGUAUAAUUACUUCUUAAAAUUCAUCACAUUCAUGGAACAGCUGCAGCUUGAAACCAUGGAUAGGAACUGUAAUUCCCAGUAAUGACAGAGGAAACAGCAGAUCAGAUAGAGGCGAAAAUCUCACCAAAAAUCUAACUGUGUUGAAGCUCUCUGUAGGAAUAUGAAAUCAAAUGAUAGCUAUAAAUGUUAAUAAAAAUAACGGAAGGCUGCCAAAUGAAACCUGAAAUGGCGACCUGGUUUGGUGGUCUUAGGGAUAUUAAGUCAUCAUGCCAUAUGAGAUCCUAUAUAAUUAAUAGACUAUAUUUGCAGAUUAAAAAAUUACAAAUACACUUUCUCCUUCAAAAGUGACCAGCAAGCAUGCUGACCAGCAACCAAGAUGACAAGAAAAAGCGACAAGCAACUAAGAUGAAAUGCUCACCUCUUUGCUUCUCCGAAUUUCACACAUUCACGGAACAAGCCACUCCUGGAGUGCUGAAGGAAAUCCAAGUAAUCAGUUGCAACCUGGAAACAUAGAACAGGAAUUGCGAUUCCCAAUAGUACUGGAGGGAACAGCAGAUCAGCACGCAGAGCCCUUGCACAGUCGCAGGUGAGCGAUAGCAGAAGUUGGUCACAAAGCUCCCCUGCACCUUCUAUUUGACUGAAUCUAGUUCUGAAGACCGGGGUGAAAUCCUGGCUACACUGAAAUCAAUGACAAAAGUCCUAUUGACCUCCAUUGAGCCAGCAUUGUACUCUAGGGAUCUACUUCAGUGAGAACUGCCAUCUCUGGGUGCUGGCACUCUAGGAGGUAAGCAGCUUGUUCAUAAUUCGUUGUUAAAUGUUUUCAACUUGUAUUAUUUUUGUUCUUGCACAUGUUCUGAGCCUGCAGUCUUCCCCAGGCCGAAGUCCAGUGAACCCAGAACAAAAUCCAAUAGAUAUAUGAAUG
rnacentral:lncRNA from 1 species